GAUGAACGCUGGCGGCGUGCCUAAUACAUGCAAGUCGAGCGAACGGACGAGAAGCUUGCUUCUCUGAUGUUAGCGGCGGACGGGUGAGUAACACGUGGAUAACCUACCUAUAAGACUGGGAUAACUUCGGGAAACCGGAGCUAAUACCGGAUAAUAUUUUGAACCGCAUGGUUCAAAAGUGAAAGACGGUCUUGCUGUCACUUAUAGAUGGAUCCGCGCUGCAUUAGCUAGUUGGUAAGGUAACGGCUUACCAAGGCAACGAUGCAUAGCCGACCUGAGAGGGUGAUCGGCCACACUGGAACUGAGACACGGUCCAGACUCCUACGGGAGGCAGCAGUAGGGAAUCUUCCGCAAUGGGCGAAAGCCUGACGGAGCAACGCCGCGUGAGUGAUGAAGGUCUUCGGAUCGUAAAACUCUGUUAUUAGGGAAGAACAUAUGUGUAAGUAACUGUGCACAUCUUGACGGUACCUAAUCAGAAAGCCACGGCUAACUACGUGCCAGCAGCCGCGGUAAUACGUAGGUGGCAAGCGUUAUCCGGAAUUAUUGGGCGUAAAGCGCGCGUAGGCGGUUUUUUAAGUCUGAUGUGAAAGCCCACGGCUCAACCGUGGAGGGUCAUUGGAAACUGGAAAACUUGAGUGCAGAAGAGGAAAGUGGAAUUCCAUGUGUAGCGGUGAAAUGCGCAGAGAUAUGGAGGAACACCAGUGGCGAAGGCGACUUUCUGGUCUGUAACUGACGCUGAUGUGCGAAAGCGUGGGGAUCAAACAGGAUUAGAUACCCUGGUAGUCCACGCCGUAAACGAUGAGUGCUAAGUGUUAGGGGGUUUCCGCCCCUUAGUGCUGCAGCUAACGCAUUAAGCACUCCGCCUGGGGAGUACGACCGCAAGGUUGAAACUCAAAGGAAUUGACGGGGACCCGCACAAGCGGUGGAGCAUGUGGUUUAAUUCGAAGCAACGCGAAGAACCUUACCAAAUCUUGACAUCCCUUGACAACUCUAGAGAUAGAGCCUUCCCCUUCGGGGGACAAAGUGACAGGUGGUGCAUGGUUGUCGUCAGCUCGUGUCGUGAGAUGUUGGGUUAAGUCCCGCAACGAGCGCAACCCUUAAGCUUAGUUGCCAUCAUUAAGUUGGGCACUCUAAGUUGACUGCCGGUGACAAACCGGAGGAAGGUGGGGAUGACGUCAAAUCAUCAUGCCCCUUAUGAUUUGGGCUACACACGUGCUACAAUGGACAAUACAAAGGGCAGCGAAACCGCGAGGUCAAGCAAAUCCCAUAAAGUUGUUCUCAGUUCGGAUUGUAGUCUGCAACUCGACUACAUGAAGCUGGAAUCGCUAGUAAUCGUAGAUCAGCAUGCUACGGUGAAUACGUUCCCGGGUCU
rnacentral:rRNA from 1 species